rnacentral:rRNA from 1 species
UACGUAGGGGGCAAGCGUUGGUCCGGAGUUACUGGGCGUAAAGGGCGCGUAGGCGGCUUUGUGCGUCACCCGUGAAAGCCCCGGCUCAAGCCGGGGAGGGUCGGGUGAAACGGCGGAGCUGGAGGCAGCGAGAGGCUGGUGGAAUUCCCGGAGUAGUGGUGAAAUGCGUAGAGAUCGGGAGGAACACCGGUGGCGAAGGCGGCCAGCUGGCGCUGACCUGACGCUGAGGCGCGAAGGCGUGGGAGCGAACGGG